GCUUUGGGGGGCGGGUAGGUAUCUUUUGUUGUUGUUGUGGUGGUUUACACCACGGGGAUGAAACACCUCAGGUCCGGGUGUGAGAAGCUGUAAGCUUGA
rnacentral:SRP_RNA from 1 species